CUGUGAUGAGCAUGAUUGCCUUGCAGUUGGACAAAGACCUGGGCUGAGAGAGGGAGCAGACUGUCUCUACUAUUGUGGAUGAACAUCAUUGUGGCAUGUCAAGGACAUAGUGAACCAGAUUGUCAUGUUGCAGAGAUGUGAUGACUAAUCUGCAUUUCAUGAGUUAAGACCAUUGACACAGAGGGGGAGACUGCCCUUUUAAACCUGUGAACACAUGAAGGAGGAUAAGCAACAACCUUGAUAAGAAGCAACUUCCAAGACCACCUUGACAUGCAUACAUGCUGUCCAGAGUUUCCUGCAGCGCUGCAUUCCUUCUCUUCACAGUGACACAUUUUGGGAAUUAUCCUUAAAUGCUUUCCUGGAGUUCCACUGCCAGAGCUGCAACUGGGGCCCUGAACUUCCCAUGCCAAUGGGUCCUUCAACUCAGAGGAGGCACCAAGGAUGGUGGGGGAGGCCUUUGUCCAAGCUGAGGUCUGGAAAACAUUCAGCUCCUCGCCCACAUACAGGCAC